rnacentral:lncRNA from 10 species
AAAAGGCGGGGAGGUCAGAAAAGGGUCAGAGGGUUCACUGGCCUGAAGACCCCUUUGAAGUAGUUGUAUCCUAACUGUGACCCCAGCUCAGAGCUGGGGAAUGCUAAGGUGGGAUCCCUGCCCACCCUUCUGGAAGAGAGGCCGUAAGCUUCACUGCUGAAGAAAAGAGGAGGCUGUCUGGACUCCAGAAAGUGGGCCUCACCUGGCCAAGGAAGCUAAAGAGCAGAGGCAGAGGGCAGAGGCCCUGGACUCAGAGCAGAGGCUGGGGUAUCAUACAAGGUCAAGGUCCCUGCAGCAAGGCAGGGUCAGGGAUGGGGUCUGAGGUGUUGAGGCCUUGAGUUAGAAAAGACUCAUUAUUAUGUGCUCAUUCAUUCAUUUCAACAUUCCAUGUGUAUUUAUUAAACUGUUACUGUUUGCCAGCCGUGGUGCUAGGUGCAGGAUGAGCCAAACAGACUUGAUUCCUGAAGCCUUGAAGCAGAAGCAAGUCUAGGAGGGGAAGUAGACACAAAUCAAAUAAUUGUGCACAUCCAUGUGUGACGAUAAACUAUGCUGAGAGCCAUGCAAGAAAGGAGCACAGGGCUUUGAUAGCCCGGGACAGAGGAACUGGACCCAGUCUGAGAGAGACAAAGUAACUGAGGCCCUGCGAGGAGAGAAGGCCUGUGAAGGACAAUGAUACUCACUGCUGUGGUGGAAGCCAGGCAGGCCCCUUCUGACCCCUGCUGUGCUCCAGCCGGCACACCCGACUUCCCUCUGAGGAAUCUGGGCGUCCCUCAGUGGACGCAGUAAAAAGCUUCUCCAAGUCGACGUAGAACCUGGACCAGCACAGGCAAAGGCACCGCCAACCAUUCUGAAAGUUCUGACAUAACUCCCAGGCCUCAGGCUGCCAAGGCAAGUUUUCUGUCUUCAGAUGAAUAAGCUGCUGUCUCCACUGUUGUGGAGGAUGAUACUCACACUUAAGGGGCCAUAUUUCUACCCUGUUGAUUAGAGGACAGGGAAGGGGAGCUGAGAGAUAAACACAACUAAGCAAUGCAACACCCUCUUUCCCUCCCCUUUCCCUCCAGUAACCCUGCUGGUUGUGGCUGCGGCUAUAAGAGUAUUGGCUGUGACUUUCACUGAUGCCCUUAGGGACACCUGCUGAUAUGAGAGUCUGAAGCUCUGUGGUCAGACAGGCUUGGGUUCCAAACCAGGUCCUGACACACAAGAGCCUCAGCUGCCCCAUCUAUAAAGUGGGAAUAAUAGCCCUGCCAUCUGCUUCUCAGAGUUGUUGGGAGAAUCAACCAGAGUUGCAAUAAACACAAAGCAAGUGGUACUGUGUCUGGCAAAGUGGGAAAAUUUAAUGAAUUAAGGCAGGUAGAAGACCUAGCACUGGUCCUGGCACAUCUGGGGAGUUCAUUAAUUGUGAGUUCCUCCUUCCUCUCCUUUCCCAGGCUGGACCCUGAACCUCGGUAAUCAGGAAAAGAACCUGGGGGCCUUCUGUCUCCCCCACACCCCUUUUUAACAUUUUGAAACAGAAUAUAACAUAAAAUUAACCAUUUUAAAGCAUAAGUUGAGUGGCAUUUAAUGCCUUCACAAUAUUGUGCAACCACCAUCUAUAUCAAGUUCCAAACAUUUUUUGUCGCCUCAAAAGGAAACCCUUUGCUCCUUAGCAGUCACUCCUAUUCCUCCACACCACCCCCAAGACCCUGGCAAUAACCGGUCUGCUUUUUGUUUCUGUGGAUUUACCUAUUCUGGAUAUUUCAUAUAAAUAGAAUCUUACCAUAUGUGACCAUUUGUGUCUGGCUUCUUCACUUGGCAUAAUGUUUUCAAGGUUCACCCCCCUUGUAGCACGUAUCUGUAUUUCAUUCCUUCUGAUGACCGAAUAAUAUUCCAUUGUAUGGAUAUGCCACAUUCUGUUUGUCUGUUCAAACACUGAUGGACAUUUUGGUUGUUCCCAUCUCUCAUUAUUGCAAAUAGUGCUGCUAUAAACAUUUAUGUAC